UACGUAGGGGGCAAGCGUUGUCCGGAAUCAUUGGGCGUAAAGCGCGUGUAGGCGGCCCGGUAAGUCCGCUGUGAAAGUCGGGGGCUCAACCCUCGGAUGCCGGUGGAUACUGUCGGGCUAGAGUAUGGGAGAGGCGAGUGGAAUUCCUGGUGUAGCGGUGAAAUGCGCAGAUAUCAGGAGGAACACCGAUUGCGAAGGCAGCUCGCUGGAACAUUACUGACGCUGAGACGCGAAAGCGUGGGGAGCGAACAGG
rnacentral:rRNA from 1 species